rnacentral:misc_RNA from 1 species
UCCUGGUUAACCCAGGCAGUCUCACUAGAGUUCCCACCAUUACGUGUUGGCAACUAGUAAUAAGGGUUGCGCUCGUUGCGGGACUUAACCCAACACCUCACGGCACGAGCUGACGACAGCCAUGCAGCACCUGUGCAGAGACCCUUACGGGAGAUAGCAUUUCUGCUACUGUCCUCUGCAUGUCAAGUCUGGGUAAGGUUCUUCGCGUUGCAUCGAAUUAAACCACAUGCUCCACUGCUUGUGCGGGUCCCCGUCAAUUCUUUUGAGUUUCACCCUUGCGAGUGUACUUCCCAGGCGGUAUACUUAACGCGUUAGCUCCGGCACAACCGGGGUUGAGUCCAGUUACACCAAGUAUACAUCGUUUACGGCAAGGACUAC